AAUUCUCCUACCCCUUCCCAAAAUUGUGCUGUGGCAAGGAUUGGGGGAAGCCAGUGGAAAAUAGUUUGAGGAUGAAUUAGGUCCAAGAGUUAGCUGGAAGAGGGCCAGGGCUAGCUGGCUGAGCUGGGGGGAUACCCAGAGAAGGCAGCUGAAGAGGUGCAGGGUCCCUCGAGAAUUAGAUCUGGGAUUCGAGAGGCUCUGUUCCUUGGCAGGGGCCAGGGCGUGGCCCGCUCUGGGCGCCUCUGCAGAGGGCCCAGGACCCAUUAACCACAAAGCCCUGCCUCCCCCGGAAACAGGGAUUGCGGCUGCUACUCUGCUCUUCAAUAGCGCUAAAGAAAGGCUGGGCCGGUGUCAGGGUUGAGGCUGCUGCCCAGGCUCGGGACUCAGGCCGCAGGCUUUGGCCCUCCCGAGGGCCCUGCUGCGGAUCCUCCAGGAGCCCCUGCCUAAACAGCUUCUGGCCUGUCCAAGAGGGUCAGGCCUGGAAGGAGGCCCAGGGUGAGCCAGGCCAUAAAAGGUUGGGGUCCCCGGUCUGUGCACCCGCCUCCAUUCUUUCUCCUUCUGACGCCAGGCACAACUUCUUUUCCCCAUCCGUUUAGCAGGUAUUUUACUGAGUACUAUUAUGUGCCUGGCCCUGAGCUGGCCUCAGAGGAUUCAAAGAUGAAGCCCUCAGUACCUGCUCUCAAGUAGCUCUUUGUUGGGGGCAGAAUUUGACUGUGAACCUAAUUAAGAAGUAGCACGAUGCUGGCUCUGAGAGAAGUCAUGAGCAAGCACUGUGGUGGGGUGGUCCAGAAUGGGAAGAAUGUGGGUCUUUUCUCCUUUUGGCCACCCCACAUGGCAUGCGGGAUCUUAGUUCCCUGACCAAGGAUUGAACCUGUGCCAACUGCAGUGGAAGGGCAGAGUCUUAACCACUGGACUGCCAGGGAAGUUCUAGAAGGUCGAUCUUCAAGGAUGGGUGAAGAAGCAGGGACUGGCAUUCCAGCAUGGGCACAGAAAUGAGACAGCACACGCCUGGGGAACUGUGAGCAUCUGGGCAACUGUGAGCAUCUGGGCAUGGCUGGAGUUCAGGGGGUGCUGGGGAAAGAUGGGGUUAUGAGGCUGGGAGGCCAAUGGUACUGGAUCAUGAAGGGCUUCACAGAGGGGUGUGGGCAUUGUUUGAUCUGAGGGUGCUGGGGAGGCCACAGAAAGUUACAUGAAGAUUGAGUAGUGAGGCCAGAUUUAGACUGCAGGGAAAAUCACUGUAGCAACAGACUUGAGGGUGGGUUCAAGGGGUGCUCACCUCACAUUCAGAAACCAAGUAGAGAGAGGAGCAUGGGGAGCCCUGGGUGGGUGCAGUGGGGGGCUUGCUAAGAGAGGUAUCAACAGGACCUCCUUCACAUCAGUGUCCCCCUUCUGAAAUCACCAGCACUGAAGAGCUAAGAAGAUGUGGACCACGGGUGACUCACAUCUAGAGGCCCUGCCCCGAGCUCGCUGCCUCCCCAUCCCCCAUCUUCCUCCAGAGACUGAGGCCCACAUUGGCACAGGAGGAGGGGCGAGGGCACGGGGCUGAGAGGCAGGCCCAGAGAAGUUGGGUGGCACCCCCUGUGAGUCCCUCACCCCUCGUCCUAGACCAAGCCAGCUGCCUCAGAAACCAACCAGCAAAAGUGCUUCCCUUUUUCCUCCAGGGCCUCCCUCCAAACCUCUGCAUUAGGGAGGGAUGGGUGGUGCCCAGUUCCACUGCCUUUCCUCUGAGCUUCCCCUCUGAGGCCCACAGACAUCCUCUCUGCCUGGACAAGGAAUGAGGGUAUUUCAGGAGGAGCCCUGGACCAAAGCCAGAGAUGCUUCAGAUGCAGUCCCUGCUGUGACGGCCAUCAGACUGAGUUCACCUUCCUGGGUCAACACUUAUGGGAGGCCGCCCUCUCACCCCCACGUCAUCCCUAGGAGAAGGCAAUGGCACCCCACUGCAGUACUCUCGCCUGGAAAAUCCCAUGGACAGAGGAGCCUGGUAGGCUGCAGUCCAUGGGGUCGAGAAGAGCUGGACACGACUGAGUGACUUCACUUUCACUUACACCUUUUCUGUUGGUUUGAAACUUGAAAUUAGGGACUUUCCUGGCGGUCCAGUGGCUAAGACUCUGCACUCCCAAUGCCGGGAGCCUGGGUUCUAUCCCUGGUCAGGGAACUAGAUCCCACAUGCCACAACUAAGAGUUCACAUGCUGCAACUUAAGAUCCUGAAUGCUGCAAGUAAGAGCUGGUGCAGCAAAACAUAAAAAACAAAUAACUGAAGGAGUGUGACAUAGUAAGAAAUGUGUAUCUGGUUUAUGACCCUGGUUCCUGACAUAGAGCUUCUAAAUCCUGUGGAAUUUCCUGGGCGAUAGGAGCAUUUUUUGUUCUGAUGAGGUGACUCUUAGUGGGCACUUGGAUGGCUUCAAGGUGGGGGCUGGUCACCAGAAAGAUCAAGCAGUGAUCGGAAGCUUGGAACUUUCGGCUCCGCCACCCAUCUUCCAAGAAGGGGAGAGGAGCUAGAGACUAAUAAUCUAUCAUGCCAACGUGAUAAACCCCCUCCAUAGGAAUCCCCAAGCUACACAGUUUGGAGAUCAUCCAGGUUGGUGAACACGCCCACAUGUUGGCAGGGUGGCACAGCCUAAGCCCACUGGGACAGCAACUCUUCUCUUAGUACCCUCUAGGGCCUCGCCCUGUGUAUGUCUUCAUCUCGCUGUUCACCGGUAUGCUUUGUCAAAAGCACAUUUGCUCCUACCUCCUGAUGCAGCCAGACUCAGUCAAGUACUCCAUCUUCCCAAGAAGAACCACACUGAAGAGAAUUUUCCAGACCUCGAAGUCCCAUCCCUCACUUUACAGAUGAAACAGGCUGAGCAGGCACGGGCUUGUGCAAGCUCAAGUGACAAGUACAUCAGUGACAGUCAGGCCUGCCCAUCAACCAGCUUCCAGCUGGGCACCUGCUCUGCAGGAGGCCCUGGGGAAGCUCGAGGCCAGCAGGGCAGUCCCAGCAGCAGCCCAGGUGUGACGGAUGCCUGAAAUCCCGUGGAGGGGUGUGCACUGCAUCUCCCCUGAGCUCCUGGAGGAGGGCGAGGACCUGUCUCCCCCUUCAGUCUCUACAGAGCGGGGCUGCAGCCUCCCAGAGUCAACACAAGUUUCAGCCCCACUCAGGUGGUCCCACUUUCUAGGUGUGUGCCCUUGUGUAAGCUAACAUCACCUUUUUGAUCCUCGUUCCCCAAGGAGUAAAGUGGAAUGAGUAAUGCAAGCUUGCUGGAUUUCCUGAAGGACUGAAACAUAUUGUUAUAUAAAGACUCAGUGAGGAGGACCCUCCCUGCUGAUCCAGUGGUUAAGACUCUGCACUUCCAGUGCAGGGGGCGGAGGUUCAACCCCUGGUCGGGGAACUAGAUUCCACAUGCCAUGUGGCAUGGCCAAAAAUUUUUUUAAAAAAUAAAAAGACUCAGUGAGGCAUAA